ensembl:lncRNA
AGCUUUGCUUACCAGAUUCACUUUCCUAAUUUUGGAUUAAAAAAAAAUCUAUUUGUAAAUUAAAUAGCAUCUGCUGGAUGUCUGUCAUCAAAGGAUUGCUCCAGCUAAAGCGGUGGAUGCCAAAAUGAAUGUUUGUGUGUGCUCUGUGUUCAUUCAAUUCAAUUCAUUUUAUUUUGUACAGCCCAAAAUUGCAAUUUAUAAAUUUGCCUCAGCAGCAGAGUUGGGACAAAUGUAUCAAAAUGAAUUUUGAUACAAAAUAAUAUGUAUUUUAAUAAUACAAAUACGCUGUGCACAUACAAUGAACAGCGUAAGAGAUCUAAGCAAAAGUUCAAUUCCUACAAAAUGAUUGAAAUGAUGAGAGUAGCAAGCCAGGUGUACGACAGGACCACUGCAGGAACAACCGCCAUCCACAGAAACCUGUGGGGCGGGAAAGCCUUCGGGAAAGAGGAAAAGAUGUUGGUUCAUGAUCAGUAAUAGAAAUGUGAUUAAUAUUUAUAAUGAUAGCAGCAGCAGAUGUCAGCAGGGCCAUGACAGGAGGCAGGAACAGGGUCCAUGGAAAGCUGUGAGGCGAGAAAGCAGAAAAACUCCAGGAGAGAAGCUAAAUGUGCAUCAAUGAGAUUUGAAUUCUUAUAAAGGGAGAGAGAGAGCUAGGAGCUCGGUGUGCCCUAAGAAAAUUCCCCGGCAGUCCAGGCCUAUAGCAGCAUAACUAAGGGCUGGUCAAGACCUGAGCCAGCCAUAACUAUAGGCAUUAGACUUAAUCUUAAAUGAGCUGACUGUGUCGGCCGCCCGGACUGAAAGUGGAAUCAGGAAACAUCACACAACAUUUAUUGCCAUAAUAUGUCAAACAUAGAAGGAAUUUGACUUGGCAGUGGGUGCAUAAUAGCAGACAGUACGACAAUGGACGACGAGUCAGCAGUGCGAGCAGGGCAAAUAUAAUGCUAUGUGUUAGUAGUAUAAGGCCAUGGGUUAGUUUAAAAAUAAAUGAAUAAAAGCUCAAAGUUAAAAAGUUACAAAUAUUUAAAAAUGAAAAAUAAAGUGCACCAGCAAACAGAAAGUGACAAGUGAAAGUGACGUGUGCAAUAUGAAAGAAAGUGAGCGAAAGUGAGCGUCCUGAUAAUAAAGAAUUGCAGUAAUCUAGUUUAGAAGUAACAAUUUUGAACAAUUUUUUUAACUGCCGGGUGUUCUUUGAGCGUUGUCCGGAUUCCUUAAUGGCCGCAGAGACAAAAAACACAGAAUUUUUUUUUGGAGUAGGAUGUGGACGAGCCUCACUGCCCUCUCUCUCUUACUCACUCCCCUGGCUGAACAUGAAAGUGAAGAUCAUCUAAAGGGUGACUGUCAACAUAUAUCAGUGGUAUGUAGACGUUUCCUUAAGGGUCUACCUGCUGCAUGCAAACCAAGAAAGUCAUUCACCUCGGUAACCACUGUCCCCAAAGACGAACGUGCUCUUCACCGGCAGAAAAAGGCAGCAGGGGAGUCCAAAAAUAACAUGCAAUUGUCUUCAUUUCAAAUGAGCUUUCUUUUGCCAUCCUGGAUGGAAGAUUAGAUUUACUCUGUUUUUAUUACUUUUUUUAAUUGAACAUUAGUUGUAAAGGAAAUGUUAGAAAAUGCAUGGAUUUGUUCCGAAGCACACAGAUUGGACAAAUGCCAAAAUGUAUAGAUAGGUCAGACAUGUAAACUUAAAAAUCCUUUCGAUUAAUUUAAGUAUACCUCAAUCAAUGACUUGCUUUUGUAACGUUCACCAUUAGAUUACUGUGUCACAAACAGGAAUCCUGCUACAGUUCUGAAUGUUCCUGCUUGCAGGCGUUAACAAAAUCCAGUCAACUUUUUAUGUCUUGUUAGUUGGUUAGCUACUAGGUGCACUUUUGAUGAAAACAAUUGUUCAGGAGAGAAAGAAGCAAACUGUCUCUCCAGCCCUGUUAUCAUCUCUGAUCCAAAAAUGCAGAAUUUUGUAAAUAUAUAACGCAUGUUGCUAAAUAUCUCUGGAGCUGAAAGCCACUGUAAUAUCCUUUGUGUUACAAGUUAUGUAGAACAGAGAGACCCACGCUCAUUCCUAUAUGUUAUACACAUAAUAUGUAUGUGUAGAGAUGUGCUGCACAUGCACAAGAAAGAAAGACAAAAAGAGAGGGAGACAUGUACAAUGGACAAAUACAUAUAUUCAUUAUCAAAUGCCUCAUAUCUUGACAAGCUGUCAAAACCAAAAUGAAUUCAUCCCAGAAAAAUAAUUUCUGAGCUGAGGAAAAAGAAAUAUGAAAAAAAUGACUGCAUGGCCUUCCGUGCUCAUAAUCCCAAACAGCUCAACAAUACCCAACAUCCUGCCACUUUGGACUCAGCUUCCUGUUGAUGCAGUCAAGUCCUAAUGAGGGUCCUGCGGUCCACGCCUCUGUGUUGCCAAAGGUUUGAGCCACAAAUUAAGAAAUGACACAAAUUAAAUCUCCCAUCAACACUUCAACCAGACAAUUACAGUUUCCGGUUGAGAGUAGAAGGCGGAACAACAGGCAGAACCAAUCAGCUGUCUCGUAUGAUAUCUUUGCCUGACGCAGAUGCCAGACUCAUUUACUGUCACAAGCUCUCGGCAGCCAAAGAGGUGUUUGCUCGGUGGUUCAUUAAGAUCCCCUGCAGCUUUGUCAUCACGGCAGUUAUUCAUCCACACAGUUCGUUCGUACGGUGGCAAUCGGAUGGGAGCAGCACGCACAGUCGACGGAAUGGCUUUAAUCUUGUCAACUUGUCGAUUAUUAGACAUGCACGGUAAUGCUUUGAGUCAUGUCAUUUUAGCUUAAUAACACUCAAAACGCCAAACACCUUUUUCUCCUUGUGCUUUUUAGCUAAACUAAAAACUGAAUGUGACGUGCAAAUACCCAAGCUAUUAAGGUGCCGAACAAGAAGAGUGUGCACCUCUGAUCAAGCAAUGGAAGUUGUGAAAAAUAUCAACAUCUACUGACAUCCGAUGAUGCUGAAAAGAGUCACUCUUUUGUAAAAUGUCAUGUUGUCACAGACCAUACAAGAGUGUGCCGACAACAAGACGAGACGCCCAAGACGACAGGCGUGGUUUAGAAGAGACUGAUGACUGCGUCUCUCGCCCUGCUUCACCACGCUCCCCGUACGCUUUUUCUUCCUCGGCUCUGUCCAGGCGGGUUGCGAGCAGAACCCACUGCUGUAUUAUGUAACAUUCCAGGAAUAAAUGGCUCGAGACGGAGUGUGAAAACCUCAUCUCAGUUUGCAGGUGGUUUGUUAAAGUAGACAUUUUCAUCAGGAAAUCCAGCCAGGAACCCAUGUGAUUACAACAUCUUUGCUCUUGCUGUUGUUGUGUGUGUGUGUGGGAGAUGUGUGUACAUUGAAGUGCGAGGGGAGUCUCUUUGCAUGUGUGUGUGUGUGCGCGAGAGAGUGUUUGUCACAUCAACACUGAGAUUCACAAGUUUUUCUUUCGGAGAUUUCACAUUUUUACACAUUUCCCACUUUCUUCGAGUGCUGUUGUUGAUGGCUCGGCAGGUCUGGAUAAAUACAAGAAUUCUGACCUUCACUGUGUCCCAAACAAACAAGAUUUCCCUCAGAUGUUUCCACAGCUUUGGACGUGGCUCCACUGGCAUUCAAAACCAGGACCGGUUUAACAAAGCUAUGAAGGCCACGCAUGUCAACACAUUCCUUACCAGAAGCUUCAGUUUUAAUUUCAGAUGAAGUUUGGGGUGGUUUGCUACCAGGGAAGACUCAAAGGGCAAUAAACAUAUCUGCAAUUUUUUGUAAAGAUUGGCUCUUUUUAAUAAUCUCAGAAUGCCUUGCUGCCAUCUCUGUAUAUCACGGCCCUGAAUAUGCUUAAACUGGAACUGGUUUCAUCAGCUGCUUUCUGAAUUUGAAUAAUGUAUAAAGGGCUUCAUCUUGGAUGAAGAGCUGUAAUGGUUGUGAACACAUACAGCAGAGGAAGGAGCUUUUAAACCUCACUCGCUAAGAGCCCGAGAAGAGGCUUCCUGGAAAAACACUCCAGUGAAUGAAACCCUCUUUUUAAUUUUAAGGGAAAGAACACAUCUGUAGCUUGGUAAAUGUGCCCUGCUGGAGGGGUUUUGUUAAACUCGUUUUUAACUGGUGCACAAUUAAGAACAAUGAAUGAGGAAUGAGGGCUAAUCAAACCUUUAGUUGGCAGGAUCCCAGUCUUGUGUGUAAACCUCUGCUCACCUCAAUCUCCUCUCCUCAUGGGUCGCCUUGCCCUGUUUGUUUUGUUAUGCCAUGUGCUCGUUGUUUGGAUUGGCGGUCCUGCCUCCAGACUCCUCCCACGGCCACACCCCUGAUUGGGGCACAGCUGUUACCGCCAGCAGUAUAUCAACCCCUGGUCCUGCAGACCUGGGUUCGUCAGUCUGUGUCAUCUUCGGCUCUGGUGGGCUUCGCCACCAUGCAGCAGGUCGCUUGUUGCCUGCUCGUGGACUAUUUCGCUCUUCUCUCUCGGCGUCCAGCACCUGACCGAUUGACCGGCCCUCAUGUGUCCGACCUCAGGCUCCACAUUCCCGCCCUCUCAGGGGUUGAAAUAAAAGCUGUAUACCUGAUUCUGUCUCCCGUGGUCAAGCUUGUGGGUCCUAACUUUGAACUCCCGUGAGAUUAGUAGAAUGAUCAAUUCUGUAAGGUAUGAAAAAGCUCCUCCAUCUAUCCAUCUUUUUUAUUCAGGUGAAUCAAUGACUCUCAAAACAUUGGGAUUUGGUAAUUGGGCCACACUACUAAACACGAGAUAUCAGAUGACUCAGAGGGAACAUGACUCAUGAAUGCUUUUCUAAAGUGAUUUAAUUCAUUUGAUAUUUUAGAGUUUAUUCUGUGAAUGAGGGCUGAAGGAAGUGUAUAUAUGGAAAAGUAAAAUGUAUGAACUAAUAAAUACAAAUUGGUUAGGCCUGAUAAUAUUGCACAGCUAUGGCCAUCGUGUUGCCAAAAUCAUACCUGUACUUUACUUUACCAAGAAUUUGCUCACUAAUUAAGUUUUGUUAUUAGCAUACAAAUUUGGGGAUCACUAAAUUGUAUGUAUCACUGAUAGCGAAAGAACCACAACUACAAAAAUACUUCAAAUGUAAUUCCAUUUACAAGUCAAAAUUGCUUCCAAAACACUCAAUACUGGCUUGGCGACUACAUUUCAUAAAAAACAUUACAGAACAAAGGAACCACAAAAAGAUGUGUUAUUGGCCAAGUUAGCAACAUUUUAUGCGAAAUGGGGACGGUGGUGAAUAUUGUAUUGCACUCUUUACAUCAGCAUGUCAGUGUUGUCAAUAUGAACAUGUUAGCAUGUUGAUGUUGGCAUGUAGACUGUAAGCUCAUUCUAGUUACAAAAUGCUGACGUUUUUACAAUUGUCACUGUGUGUGACGCAAAGACAUUUUGGCAAUUGUUGUUUGGCA